rnacentral:rRNA from 1 species
UACGAAGGGGGCUAGCGUUGCUCGGAAUCACUGGGCGUAAAGGGUGCGUAGGCGGGUUUUUAAGUCAGGGGUGAAAUCCUGGAGCGCAACUCCAGAACUGCCUUUGAUACUGAAGAUCUUGAGUCCGGGAGAGGUGAGUGGAACUGCGAGUGUAGAGGUGAAAUUCGUAGAUAUUCGCAAGAACACCAGUGGCGAAGGCGGCUCACUGGCCCGAUACUGACGCUGAGGCACGAAAGCGUGGGUAGCAAACAGG